UACGUAGGGUGCGAGCGUUGUCCGGAAUUAUUGGGCGUAAAGGGCUCGUAGGCGGUUUGUCGCGUCGGGAGUGAAAACCAGGUGCUUAACACCUGGCUUGCUUUCGAUACGGGCAGACUAGAGGUAUUCAGGGGAGAACGGAAUUCCUGGUGUAGCGGUGAAAUGCGCAGAUAUCAGGAGGAACACCGGUGGCGAAGGCGGUUCUCUGGGCAUUACCUGACGCUGAGGAGCGAAAGCGUGGGGAGCGAACAGG
rnacentral:rRNA from 1 species